GGAAAAAUUUACAAAUUUAUACCUCCUUUAGUUUAGAAAAACCAUCAUCUCUGUGUCAGGGUGGCGGUCCAGUGCCCGGGACCCAGACACUGUCCGGACGGCGGUGCGAGGACCGGGACCCAGUAUGCAUGAUCUUCAGAGUAGGAGUCAGGUGGAUUAGCAAAGUCUGGUGCAGAGCACCAGCGUUUGUGCAGCCACGUACCAGAACCCUGAAUGAGCUUAUGCGUAUCCCAGGAACUAGGAGCUUUGAAUUAAGCAGACCUCAAAGGAGCUGAAUAGGGAGGCUCUGCAGCAGGAGUGUAUCCAGUACAGAAGCAAGGCAAGACUAGAUAGGCACCAUACAUGAAAACAAGACAAAACUAGGAGAACCCAUAACCAGAGAAGGAUAGGAAGCUAAACCCAGAACAUGUACACAAGACAUGAGAAAAACAAGAACAUAACAUGGGCAUGACUGGACAGGACUGUACAUGGACUGGGAUUACAAGACAAAAUAAAACAAGACAAGAGAUAUAAGGUAAAACAAGAGAUAUAACUAAGCACUAUAUAUGAAAAUCAUGGGGAUUUAGUUACA